rnacentral:rRNA from 1 species
CCUACGGGACGCAGCAGUGAGGAAUAUUGGUCAAUGGGCGCAAGCCUGAACCAGCCAUGCCGCUUGCAAGAUGACGGUCCUAUGGAUUGUAAACUGCUUGGGUACAGGAAGAAACACUGGUUCGUGAACCAGCUUGACGGUACGUAAGAAAAACCUCCGUC